UUUCUUUUCUUCACAAAACCCCCAAGAGUCCCUGCCAAAUGACGAAAGAACCAAAAACAAUUAACAUACUAUCUCCAGAUAGCAUUGUCCUUCACUAAAAACCCAGACAUUUGAUUCCAUUCAAUUCAUUGUACUUUUCUCAAGUGAGUCUUACAGAGCAAUCUUUUGAGAGAAACCAUAUUCCUCAAUUGCAACAAAGCUUGAAAAGCCACUGCAUACAUUUUUUUUCCAGAAGUGAAAUUUUCAUCACCAUUAUGGCUAAAAUAAAAGACAUUUCAAAAGACAUUGUAAAUGCCCCUUUCCUCUGCAGGGAAGAGUGGCUAUUAUGAAAUCUUUGCAGAAACUGCUCCCUGAUGUUGGCAUUAAUUUAAACGUUUGAUUUUUUGGUCUCCUGUUCUGUUAAAGUUGAGUAAGCAAAAGAUAGAAAAUCCCUAGGUCUUUGUUUGGCUUAACACAAAAAGCUUCUCUAAAAUAAGUGACAAAAAUUUAUCUAUUGCACAUGUGUAAAUUUUCAAAGAAUAUUGUGCUUGAGAGCUAAAAAGGACCUCAGAGUUUACCGGUAGAAACUCUUCAUUUGUGUGCAAGGAAACUAAAACUCUUUAGUUGCAUAAGGUGAUUGACCUAACUAUUACCUUCCCCAGAAAUUCUCACAGUCCCUUUGUAAUUUCCCAAUACCAUUCACCCGGAGUGGGAAAGAUGUUGGUAUGGUUAUAAGAUGUGAGACUGUCCAGACUUUUUUUCAACCUGUCAAUUAGUCUUGGUUUGACUAUCACGGUAUCAGAGAGAGAUGGCAAACUUACCAGUCUCAGAAAUUCAAAAAAUGUUCUGAUAGCUGAGAACCAAUACUACCAAAGAUCUGAACCUAUUUCUAAGACAAUUAGACUACGAAACAUUAUGAGGGAAAUGAAAGUUCACUAACACCCUGCACGUGCUUAUGUACCUCCCCAAAUCAACUUUUUGCUUCCUUCCCACUGGAAUAUUAGGCAAAUGAGUCAGUUAAUUUCAUGUUCAGAUUUAUAGACAAUAUGAAGGAUAUCUACUUGAGCGGGGAAAGCCCUGGUAGGUGCCUUCUAUGCUUCACCAGUCAGCCAGAAAAAAAGUUGGCAGUGUAGUGUCUAAUACAAAUCACACUCACUUCAGAGACUAGGAGUCAGGUAAAAAUUUCCCUUCUUCCCAAAGAUCUGGCACCUACUGUCAAGGUAGAAGACUCUUUCUUAACCUGUCUUCAAUCUCAUUUCUGUUACUUCCCUUUAAAAGUGCUUAAACAACAUCAGGAAGACGAGGUGGGGACCUCUCUGCUUUCUAGGGGAGAAAGAAUCACUAUUUUUCCUCACAUCAUUAUUGAACUGCUGGAGUAAAGAAUUCAACGCUUGCUAAAGGAAUUUUAUAAGUGGCCUGGGCUAUUUUGAUGAGGCGAGGGCUAAGGCUCAGUGAGGUCGCAGGUCAUGGACAGGCAUCCUUCUGGAAAAUGAAAAAGGUUUACGGACAGCUGUCUAUUAAUUAGAGGGCCCUUUCUUGGCAGUGAUGCAAACAGCUGACUUGACUUCUCUGCAAAGGUGAUGAGAUGAGUUCUGGUGGGAACAAUAAUGCUCUGUCUCCAAGUCCUACUGGGUAUGUACAUAGGUGUUUAUUUGUUGCCCUCUGACAUGUGCACAUUCACCUGCAUUCACUCUUUUUUGUGUAUUCUAUUUUUUUAAUUUAAUCGCAAAAAAUUUAAUUGCAGAUUCC
rnacentral:lncRNA from 1 species